rnacentral:tRNA from 1 species
UUAGUAGUAAAAUGGUUAUACAGCGGACUGUUAAUCCGUAGAUGCAGGUUCAAUUCCUGCCUAGC